AUGGCUUGGCUAAGUUGGGAGAAAAUGAAACUACCCAAAGCAAUGGGAGGCAUGGGUUUCAGGGAUAUGAGUGCUUUUAAUCAGGCGUUGUUAGCAAAACAGGCCUGGUGUUUGUUGGACAGCCCUGAUAGUCUAUGUGCUUGUUUAUUGCGUGCAAAAUAUUUCCCUAAUGGGAAUUUGUUGGAUACAUUAUUUCCUAGCAGCUCUUCGGCGGUAUGGAAAGGUAUUGUUCAUGGACUUGAAUUAUUGAAGAAGGGCAUUAUCUGGCGGGUUGGUGAUGGUACACUAAUUAGAACUUGGCAGACCCUUGGA
rnacentral:rRNA from 1 species